CGGAUUGUAAACCUCUGUCACCGGGGAAGAAACGCUUUGAGGUAAUACUUCAAAGCCUGACUUAACCCGGAGAGGAAGCAGUGGCUAACUCUGUGCCAGCAGCCGCGGUAAUACAGAGACUGCAAGCGUUAUUCGGAUUCACUGGGCGUAAAGGGUGCGCAGGCGGCAGUGUGUGUGAGGCGUGAAAGCCCGGGGCUUAACUCCGGAAUUGCGCCUCAAACUACAUUGCUAGAGCAUUGGAGAGGGUAGCAGAAUUCACGGUGUAGCAGUGAAAUGCGUAGAUAUCGUGAGGAAUACCAGAGGCGAAGGCGGCUACCUGGACAAUUGCUGACGCUCAGGCACGAAAGCGUGGGGAGCAAAAGGGAUUAGAUACCCCUGUAGUCCACGCCCUAAACGGUGCACACUAGGUCUUGGCGGAUUCGACCCCCCCAGGGCCCAAGCUAACGCGUUAAGUGUGCCGCCUGAGGACUACGGCCGCAAGGCUAAAACUCAAAGGAAUUGACGGGGGCCCGCACAAGCGGUGGAGUAUGUGGCUCAAUUCGAUGCAACGCGAAGAACCUUACCUGGCCUUGACAUGCAUUAGACCGGCGCUGAAAGGCGCCUUCCCUUCGGGGCUGGUGCACAGGUGCUGCAUGGCUGUCGUCAGCUCGUGUCGUGAGAUGUUGCGUUAAGUCGCGCAACGAGCGCAACCCCUGUCCUUAGUUGCCAUCAUUAAGUUGGGCACUCUAGGGAGACAAACCCUCUCUGAGGGUGGGAAGGUGGGGAUGACGUCAAGUCAGGAUGGCCCUUACGGCCAGGGCUGCACACGUACUACAAUGCCCGGUACAGAGGGAAGCAAUACCGCGAGGUGGAGCAAAUCCUCAAAACCGGGCCCAGUUCAGAUUGUAGUCUGCAACUCGACUACAUGAAGUUGGAAUCGCUAGUAAUGGCGCAUCAGCUACGGCGCCGUGAAUACGUUCCCGGGCCUUGUACACACCGCCCGUCACGUCAUGAAAGCCGGUUUCGCCCGAAGUGCGUUUGCCAACCAGCAAUGGAAGCGGCGCCCUAAGGUG
rnacentral:rRNA from 1 species